GAUGAACGCUGGCGGCGUGCCUAAUACAUGCAAGUCGAGCGCACGGACGAUAAGCUAGCUUCCUUGAUGUUAGCGGCGGACGGGCGAGUAACACAUGGAUAAGCAACUAAUAUGACUGGGAGAACUGCGGGAAACCGGAGCUAAUAACCGAUGAUAUUAUGAACCGCAUGAUUCAAAGGUGAUUGACGGUAUUGCUGACUCUUAUAGCUGGAUCCGCGAUGCAUUAGCUAGUUGGUAAGGUAACGGCUAACCAAGGCAACGAUGCAUAGCAGACCUGAGAGGGUGAUCGGCCACACUGGAACUGGGACACGGUCCAGACUCCUACGGGAGGCGGCAGUGGGGAAUUUUGGGCAAGGGGCGAAAGCCUGACGGAGCAACGCCGCGUGGGUGAGGAAGGUCUUCGGUUCUUAAAACUCUUUUUUUGGGGAAGAAGAGAUGUAGAGUUAACUGUGCACAUCUUGACGGUACCUAAUCAGAAAGCCACGGCUAACUACGUG
rnacentral:rRNA from 1 species